rnacentral:tRNA from 1 species
UGCGCUGCAGCGGGGUGGAGAUCGGCUUCCGGUUGCUGCCCGGGGACAACACCGACCGGUUCCACGCCGGCCCGGGCGAC